rnacentral:lncRNA from 1 species
UUUGAUUCAGAGCAAGCGCCCAGGGAUUCACUUCUUUUUAUUUUUCAUCAUUCCAUUCACUCCACUACACCUCAUCGACUGAACACCCUUUCAUUUCCUUCUCAUCUUUUUCUUUUCAUUCUCCAUUUUUUUUCCUUAUUUUCUUUAUUAUUAUUAUUAUUAUUAUUUUCAAAAACUCAACUCUCACCGCUGCCGGGGCACCGACCAGCCGCCGCCGGUCGACGACCUCCUGUCCAUCUCAUCAGUUUCCCAUUAUUAUUAUUAUUAUUAUUAUUAUUAUUAUUAUUAUUAUUAUUAUUAUUAUUACCACUUCGAUUCAGAGCAAGCGCCCAGGGAUUCACUUCUUUUUAUUUUUCAUCAUUCCAUUCACUCCACUACACCUCACCGACUGAACACCCUUUCAUUUCCUUCUCAUCUUUUUCUUUUCAUUCUCCAUUUUUUUCCUUAUUUUCUUUAUUAUUAUUAUUAUUAUUAUUUUCAAAAACUCAACCCUCACCGCUGCCGGGGCACCGACCAGCCGCCGCCGGUCGGCG